UCGCUCUCGCAACCCGGAAAGUGAGUCCAGAGGCUGUCCAGGUUCCAUCAGGCUUUUUUAGAAAUGAAGAACUACAAUGUUCCUUCGAUAAAACUUUGCUUAGCCUUGCGGAGUCCUUUAUGUCUUCGAUUGAUUGACAGUUAAAUGGUUUCAUUACAUUAUUUGACGAAAAAAAAAACAAGAAUAAAAGCUAGAUAUUACUUUUUUUUCACCUUACCUUAUCUUAUCUUUGCUCGAAAGAUAACUCUAUGUUUAUAAACCGUUGAAGAUGUAACAACUCGAGAAAGUGAAUUUUUGUUUCUACUUAGAACACAUAUUAUCCCGACCUUGCACAUUUAAAUCUCGGGCCUUUCUAUUUUAUCAAAAAUCAAACGUUUUAAUGAACCAAUUUGCAUUCGCAACUACCUACGAUCUUAGGAGAGUAACCUUCUACUCCAUUUCUUCAUCCCACUAUGGUUCUUGAUAGCGCGCCGAUGUUAGUUUAGCAAAAUUCAAAUAUUUCCCAUUCAAUUUCAAAGAAUCAAUUUAAAUAUAAACAUUACUCAUUGAUCUAAUAAAAACUGACGUCAUCACCGAAACAAAACCAAAACAUCUGGCUACGAAGGCAGCAAUUUUUUGUUAGGUAAGUUUAUGACGAUACCCCAAAUCCAUAUUCCAAAGCCAAAACCAACAUAAGAAAAUGCAUUAAAAAUGUCGCUUGACUGACUGAAGACUAUGAAUGAAUGUUACACGAAUGAGUUGAAAUUGAUUACUUCUCGAUUCUCUUAAUCCAAACAUUAAUUAAGCAGUUAAACAUUAAUAAUAUUAGGAAGAAUGAUUUUGGAUUAGAAUGAGGUCAAAAGAAAUGCAGAUAAUUAUGCUUACUGGACGAUGGGUGGCAUAAUUUCAAUAAUAAAUUUAUUGACACUUUCAACUUAAAAUAAAUUCCUCUUGAAGAAUUCUUCACUGUAAAUUAUUGAUGAUGAUGUGAUACUUGCUAGAAGAUGUCGACGAAGACACAACACACAACGAGUACGAGAUACGACAACGACGACGACAACGACCAAGCCUCUCCCUAAUUUGGAUGAAGGCGGAUAGAAAUUCUGUUUAAGUUUUUUUCUUUCUUACGAAGUGGUUCUAUUUUUUGAGAAUUAAAUUGAUCAAGUGUAAGAAUAGAAUUAUAAAACUUUUUUGUAAUAAUUUAAUAAAUUUUCACUGGAUUUUUUAUUUACCUUUAAUUUAAAGAAUUGUAAUUAAAACAUAAGUAAUUUAUGAUUUAAAAUAAAAAUUAAAAACUAAAUCGUU